AUAUGGUAGGAGAGCGUUCUGUAAGCCUGCGAAGGUGUCUUGUAAAGGAUGCUGGAGGUAUCAGAAGUGCGAAUGCUGACAUGAGUAGCGAUAAUGCGGGUGAAAAGCCCGCACGCCGUAAGCCCAAGGUUUCCUGUUCAACGUUCAUCGGAGCAGGGUGAGUCGGCCCCUAAGGCGAGGCAGAGAUGCGUAGCUGAUGGGAAGCAGGUUAAUAUUCCUGCACCGUCGUAUGAUGCGAUGGGGGGACGGAUCGCGGAAGGUUGUCUGACUGUUGGAAUAGUCAGUUUUUGACUCAUAGAAGGUGCUUAGGCAAAUCCGGGCACGUAAUUCAAGGGGUUGAGACGAGUCGCCACGUGCGACGAAGCAAUCGGAAGUGGUUCCAAGAAAAGCCUCUAAGCUUCAGUCAUACGAGACCGUACCGCAAACCGACACAGGUGGGCGAGAUGAGUAUUCUAAGGCGCUUGAGAGAACUCGGGAGAAGGAACUCGGCAAAUUGGUACCGUAACUUCGGGAUAAGGUACGCCCUAGUAAUUUGACCACUUUACUGUGGAAGGAUGAACGGGUUGCAAUAAAAUGGUGGCUGCGACUGUUUAAUAAAAACACAGCACUCUGCAAACACGAAAGUGGACGUAUAGGGUGUGACGCCUGCCCGGUGCUGGAAGAUUAAAUGAUGGGGUGCAAGCUCUUGAUUGAAGUCCCAGUAAACGGCGGCCGUAACUAUAACGGUCCUAAGGUAGCGAAAUUCCUUGUCGGGUAAGUUCCGACCUGCACGAAUGGCGUAACGAUGGCCACACUGUCUCCUCCCGAGACUCAGCGAAGUUGAAAUGUUUGUGAUGAUGCAAUCUACCCGCGGCUAGACGGAAAGACCCCAUGAACCUUUACUGUAGCUUUGCAUUGGACUUUGAAUCAAUCUGUGUAGGAUAGGUGGGAGGCUUUGAAGCGGGGACGCCAGUUCUCGUGGAGCCAUCCUUGAAAUACCACCCUGGUUCAUUUGAGGUUCUAACCUUGGUCCGUUAUCCGGAUCGGGGACAGUGCAUGGUAGGCAGUUUGACUGGGGCGGUCUCCUCCUAAAGUGUAACGGAGGAGUUCGAAGGUACGCUAGGUACGGUCGGACAUCGUGCUAAUAGUGCAAUGGCAUAAGCGUGCUUAACUGCGAGACCGACAAGUCGAGCAGGUACGAAAGUAGGACAUAGUGAUCCGGUGGUUCUGUAUGGAAGGGCCAUCGCUCAACGGAUAAAAGGUACUCUGGGGAUAACAGGCUGAUUCCUCCCAAGAGUUCAUAUCGACGGGGGAGUUUGGCACCUCGAUGUCGGCUCAUCACAUCCUGGGGCUGUAGCCGGUCCCAAGGGUAUGGCUGUUCGCCAUUUAAAGUGGUACGUGAGCUGGGUUUAAAACGUCGUGAGACAGUUUGGUCCCUAUCUGCCGUGGGCGUUGGAAAUUUGAAGGGGGCUGCUCCUAGUACGAGAGGACCGGAGUGGACGAACCUCUGGUGUACCGGUUGUCACGCCAGUGGCAUUGCCGGGUAGCUAAGUUCGGAAGAGAUAACCGCUGAAAGCAUCUAAGCGGGAAACUUGCCUUGAGAUGAGAUUUCCCGGAGCCUUGAGCUCCUUGAAGGGUCGUUCGAGACCAGGACGUUGAUAGGCUGGGUGUGGAAGUGCAGUAAUGCAUUAAGCUAACCAGUACUAAUUGCCCGUACGGCUUGUCCCUAUAACCUU
rnacentral:rRNA from 1 species